GAUGAACGCUGGCGGCGUGCCUAAUACAUGCAAGUCGAGCGAACAGACGAGGAGCUUGCUCCUCUGACGUUAGCGGCGGACGGGUGAGUAACACGUGGAUAACCUACCUAUAAGACUGGGAUAACUUCGGGAAACCGGAGCUAAUACCGGAUAAUAUAUUGAACCGCAUGGUUCAAUAGUGAAAGACGGUUUUGCUGUCACUUAUAGAUGGAUCCGCGCCGCAUUAGCUAGUUGGUAAGGUAACGGCUUACCAAGGCAACGAUGCGUAGCCGACCUGAGAGGGGGACGAGCCACCUGUGAAAGAGCGCAACGGCAAAAAACCUGCGGCAGCAAAGGGAAGGAAACGUUCGGGAAGUGUCAAAACCCUAAGGAGUCAAUCCGCGGGAAGAAAGAAAGUCUAACUAACUGUAAACUCCUGGAAUAUAGCAAAACAAAAGUGGAAAGUACCUUUCACACCCUGACGUGACCUAAUCAGAAAGCCACGGCGAACUACGUC
rnacentral:rRNA from 1 species